rnacentral:rRNA from 1 species
GACGAACGCUGGCGGCGUGCUUAACACAUGCAAGUCGAACGGAAAGGCCCUGCUUUUGUGGGGGCUCGAGUGGCGAACGGGUGAGUAACACGUGAGUAACCUGCCCUUGACUUUGGGAUAACUUCAGGAAACUGGGGCUAAUACCGGAUAGGAGCUCCUGCUGCAUGGUGGGGGGUGGAAAGUUUCGGCGGUUGGGGAUGGACUCGCGGCUUAUCAGCUUGUUGGUGGGGUAGUGGCUUACCAAGGCUUUGACGGGUAGCCGGCCUGAGAGGGUGACCGGCCACAUUGGGACUGAGAUACGGCCCAGACUCCUACGGGAGGCAGCAGUGGGGAAUAUUGCACAAUGGGCGGAAGCCUGAUGCAGCAACGCCGCGUGCGGGAUGACGGCCUUCGGGUUGUAAACCGCUUUCGCCUGUGACGAAGCGUGAGUGACGGUAAUGGGUAAAGAAGCACCGGCUAACUACGUG